UGGGGGAAAGAACAACAGGGAUUGCCCUAGUAACGGCGAGUGAAGCGGCAACAGCUCAAAUUUGAAAUCUGGCCCUCGGGUCCGAGUUGUAAUUUGUAGAGGAUGCUUUUGGCGCGGUGCCUUCCGAGUUCCCUGGAACGGGACGCCUUAGAGGGUGAGAGCCCCGUACGGUUGGACACCAAGCCUCUGUAAAGCUCCUUCGACGAGUCGAGUAGUUUGGGAAUGCUGCUCUAAAUGGGAGGUAAAUUUCUUCUAAAGCUAAAUAUUGGCCAGAGACCGAUAGCGCACAAGUAGAGUGAUCGAAAGAUGAAAAGCACUUUGAAAAGAGGGUUAAAUAGCACGUGAAAUUGUUGAAAGGGAAGCGUUUGCGACCAGACCUUUUCCUGGCGGAUCAUCCGGUGUUCUCACCGGUGCACUUCGCCAGGUUGAGGCCAGCAUCGGUUUCGGCAGGGGGAUAAAAGCGUUGGGAACGUAGCUCCUCCGGGAGUGUUAUAGCCCUUCGUAUAAUACCCUUGCGGGGACCGAGGACCGCGCUUUUGGCAAGGAUGCUGGCGUAAUGGUCGUCAACGACCCGUCUUGAAACACGGACCAAGGAGUCGAACAUUUGUGCGAGUGUUUGGGUGUUAAACCCUCACGCGUAAUGAAAGUGAACGGAGGUGAGAGCCCUUACGGGUGCAUCAUCGACCGAUCCUGAUGUCUUCGGAUGGAUUUGAGUAAGAGCAUAACUGUUCGGACCCGAAAGAUGGUGAACUAUGCGUGGAUAGGGUGAAGCCAGAGGAAACUCUGGUGGAGGCUCGCAGCGGUUCUGACGUGCAAAUCGAUCGUCAAAUCUGCGCAUGGGGGCGAAAGACUUAUCGAACCAUCUAGUAGCUGGUUACCGCCGAAGUUUUCCUCAGGAA
rnacentral:rRNA from 1 species